rnacentral:rRNA from 1 species
GACGAACGCUGGCGGCGUGCUUAACACAUGCAAGUCGAACGGAAAGGCCCUGCUUUUGUGGGGCGCUCGAGUGGCGAACGGGUGAGUAACACGUGAGUAACCUGCCCUUGACUUUGGGAUAACUUCAGGAAACUGGGGCUAAUACCGGAUAGGAGCUCCUGCUGCAUGGUGGGGGUUGGAAAGUUUCGGCGGUUGGGGAUGGACUCGCGGCUUAUCAGCUUGUUGGUGGGGUAGUGGCUUACCAAGGCUUUGACGGGUAGCCGGCCUGAGAGGGUGACCGGCAACAUUGGGACUGAGAUACGGCCCAGACUCCUACGGGAGGCAGCAGUGGGGAAUAUUGCACAAUGGGCGGAAGCCUGAUGCAGCAACGCCGCGUGCGGGAUGACGGCCUUCGGGUUGUAAACCGCUUUCGCCUGGGACGAAGCGUGAGUGACGGUAAUGGGUAAAGAAGCACCGGCUAACUACGUG